rnacentral:rRNA from 1 species
UACGAGGGGUGCAAGCGUUGCUCGGAAUUAUUGGGCGUAAAGGGCGAGUAGGUGGUCUUAUUUGUCCGGGGUGAAAUCCUUGAGCUUAACUCAAGAAGUGCCUCGGAAACGGUGAGACUAGAGUCUUGGAGAGGGUCGUGGAAUUCCCGGUGUAGCGGUGAAAUGCGUAGAUAUCUGGAGGAACACCGGUGGCGAAGGCGGCAUCCUGGACCGGCAUUGACGCUGAGGCGCGAAAAGCUAGGGGGAGCGAACAGG